rnacentral:rRNA from 1 species
GCCUGUCCGCACAGCGGGGGCCUUGUUAAAUUGGUUAGGGGGACUUACCGGGCUGAUUCUGGGAGGAUGGAGACAGAAAGGCCGAAGGGCUCCAUAGAGGUCUGAAUGUUGUGUCAGCUCGUCCGUGAGGUGUCGGGUCAAUUCAAUAACAGCGCAACCCCUUUGCCAGUUGCCAUAAGGUGAUGUGGGCACUCCGGCGACACUCCACCGCAAGGUGUAGGAAGGUGGGGAUGACGUAAAAUCAGCACGGCCCUUACGUCCGGGGCUACACACGAAAUACAGUAAGGAGUACAGAGAGUCGGUCGUAUGCAAAUGCGGUCUAAUCAUGAAAGCUCUCCUCAGUUCGGAUUGGGGUCUGCAACCCGACCCCAUGAAGCUGGAUUCGCUAGUAAUCGCGCAUCAGCCAUGGCGCGGGAAUACGUUCCCGG